CACACCAAGUCCAGAAGCCCCAGGAAAGGUCCUACAACUACUGAGAAAACACUGAAGCAGCAUUUGGUGUGAAGUGGUAUCCCAUUACCAGUGCCAAGCUUUGAGGCUGGUCAAGAAGUUGGAGAUGGAAGCCGAUCAAGUGAAGACUAUUCUGGAGGAAGAGAGAAGGGAAGGGAAAACGGUACCAUUGAGGUACGGAGAUCUGAAUGCACAGGUGGAGACACAAGACACAAGCCCGGCACAAUUUUCAAAUAAUUUAUUAGGAAUUUAAAACUGAAAAUAAAACCUGGAAAAAGAAGUUACAGAUGUGGAGAGAAGAGACACCAGAGGGUGGUAACUUGCCGGCUUCGAAACACCGUGUAACAUCUUUUUAAAAAAUUCCCCAAACAAAUCAGAAAACAGAAUUCCAGGGCCCUGAGCCAUGGUUGGGUCCCCUGGGGUGGGAGUGGGAGUCACAGGAAGGGGAGGAGAGGGAAGCUAAGUCUCUCCUGACUCAGCUCAAACGUGUAAAAAAUUAAAAAUAAAACCCAAUAAAAUGCAGCUUCUCUUUUAUUAGGAAACAUCAAAAAAAAAAAAA